GCUGGGUGUGGUGGAGUGUGCCUACAGUCUCAGUUACUCAGGAGGUUGAGGCUGGAGGAUCGCUUGAGUCCAGGAGUUCUGGGCUGUAAUGCACUAUGCCAAUCGGGUGCCCACACUAAGUUCAGCAUCAAUAUGGUUACCUCCUGGGAGCGGGAGACCACCAGGUUGCCUAAGGAGGGAUGAACCAGCCCAGGUCGGAAACAGAGCAGGUCAAAACUCCCGUGCUGAUCAGUAGUGGGAUCACACCUGUGAAUAGCCACUGCACUUCAGCCUGGGCGACAUAGGGAGGCCUCGUUUCU
rnacentral:SRP_RNA from 1 species